CUCCUAUAUUCGAUUCCUCUUGUUAUAAAGGCCAACAUGCCAUUCGCUUUCUUCACUGCCUGCUGAACCUGCAUGCUUACUUUCAUAGACUGAUGUACAAGGACCCCCAGAUCCCGUUGUACUUCUCCAUUUCCCAGCUUGACACCAUUUAGAUAGUAAUCUGCCUUCCUGUUUUUGUUACCAAAGUGGAUAACCUCACAUUUAUCCACUUUAAACUUCAUCUGCCAUGCAUCUGCCCACUCCCCCAACCUGUCCAAGUCGCCCUGCAUUCUCUUAACAACCUCCUCACAGUUCACACUGCCACCCAGCUUUGCGUCAUCUGCAAAUUUGCUAAUGUUACUUUGAAUCCCUUCAUCCAAAUCAUUGACCCAGCAGAUCAAGAUCCCGCUGUAAUUCUUCAAAAACAUCUUCACUAUCUAGUUAGUGUCAUCUGCUGACUUACUAAUAAUGCCUUCUACAUUCUCAUCCAAAUCAUUGAUGUAGAUGACACGCAGCAAGUAGCCCAGCACCAAUUCCUGAGGCACAGCACUAGUCACAAGCCUCUAGUUCGAUAAAACAACCUUCCACUACCUACCAUUAAGCCAAUUAUGUGCAUAGUUAACUAGCUAUUCUAGAUAUCAUGUGAUCUAACCUUCCAGAGCAGCCCAAGAUGUAGAACCUUUUCAUGGGCCUUGAUGAAGUCCAUAUAGAAUACAUCAACUUGCUAGAUUGUUUCUGCAAAAGACUAUGAAAUUUUUGAGACGCUGGCAGAAAACACCGUUAACUAUUCCUCAUCAACCGUUGUAUUUCCAAAUGCAUGUAUAACUCUUCCCUCAGAUUCCUCUCCAGUAACCUUCCUACCACAUAUAUUAAGCUUAUUAGUCAACAGUUCACAAAUUUUUCUUUGCCGCCUUUCUUGAAUAGAAACAGAAUAUUAGCUACCAUCCAGUCUUUUGUCACCUCACCCAUCUGAUAAUGAUUCAUAUAUGUCAAGCAGGACUCCUGCUCUUCCCACAGCAACCUUGAAGAUAUCUGAUUGAGGCUUGGGAGAUUUAUUUACCUUCAUUUGGUUCAGGAUUGCCAACACCUCCGUAACUGUAAUAAGAACUGUCCCCAAGACAUCAACAUUAACUUUCUCAAGAUCCCUCUUCUUCAUGGCUCUCUUCAUAGUAAAAACAGAGGAGAACUAUUCAUUGAGGACCCUAACAACAUCCAGCAGCGCCACACAUGGAUGACCCCCUUGGAUUCUGUGUUGCCCUCUGUUCCAGUUAUUAUUUUCCCUUACUACGCUUGUAAUGAUAUUGUGACGACGUACCAUUUUGACCCUGUAGUGCAUCGUACAUUGCCAAGGAAACACAAAUAAAGCAAAAAUAAACAGACGGAACACAUUCCAGGAACAGCUCUUAGAAUGAUCAGCAUAUUCCAGUCCACUAGUAAAAGUAACAAGGGCCUGAAAAAGGCUAAAGAGCUUGCAGUUUCUUAAAAUAUAACACAUAUUUUUUGUUUCUAGUUGUAUUCUAGGGAAAGUGAAAAGAACAUUUUGCAGAGUGCCUUCACCACAGUUCUCUCAAGCCAAAAAUCUUCCAUUCAGACACAGCGAACAAGCCUUUACUUUUUACGUCUACAGCAAGAAUCGUGUGUUCUUUUUCCCGUUUUAUCAAUUGGCGUGCCAAAAGUGUGCCAAAGGGCUGACAUGUUUAUGCAAGGAGGGAUACGGAUACCAAGGUAAGGGAAUCUUUGAUAGUCAGAGAGGUUUUAAUUGGGUCAAAUACAAAAGGAAAGCAUAUGUGUGUUUUUGCAAUACUGGGUACAAAAAGUGUGACAUCACACAUAAAACUGAAGUUCACAAAUAAAUAAUUUCAACAUGAUUCAGAUGAAUCAAAAUCCCUCACAGCAGCAGUAUGACACGGAGAGAUAGUUCAUGAAGUUUGAGAAAAUUUCAUGAAUGAACAAAAUUCCUUGUCCAAAGUUCCUGCGUUCCAAUGCGUUUUUUUACACUACGUUUGGUGUCCACCAUAACCACUAUUACAUGAAAUUUAGAAAGCCAAUUGUUUCUAAAGCAUGAUAGCUGAUUUCUUCACUUUUGCUGUUUUUCAACAUACAAAUUUACUUUUUUGCUAUAAACAUGGAGUAUGUGACCAAAUGAGCAAUAUUCCUGUUAUCUAGUGAAACGUGCGUUACGCGCAUUACAGUGUCCAAGUGUGGCCACCAAAAUGAAAAUAGCCCCCGUUUCUUCCUGGAUUUCUUUUUAUGUAAUUUCUUUCUCAUGUUUUGAAUACACUUUAUGGUGGUAAUUGUCCAUACAUAAUCAGAGACUGCAGGUACAUAAUUUGAUGAAAAUAUAUAUAUAGAUACUGCAAAAUGCUGGUGUUACGCGUGUGUUGGUGGACAUCAAGUUAUUUGGUCUUAAUUUACCAUUGUCAUGUAACGGUGGUUACUCUAAAAUAGGGUGGACACCAAGAGUAACCACCUUUGCAUUCUUUGAAAUAUGGCCAUUCAGAGCACUAAAAGCCAAAUUCAUCAAAGGUUUUGCUUAUUACUGUGAAAUGCAUCUCUGCAAAGCAACAAACUUCAAAAUGUUUUGAAUUACAAGGGACGUCCGGAGGCAGUAAAAAAUACCACGUAGCAAAGAUGAGCGGGAAGCAAGAGGAUUGGGUAAUGUUUAAAGAACAACAUAAGAUAACCAAAAAGACAAUACGGGAAGAAAAGAUGAGGUACAAAGGUAAGCUAGCCAAGAAUAUAAAGCAGGAUAGUAAAAGCUUAUUUAGGUAUGUGAAGAGGAACAAAUUAGUUAAGACCAAAGUUGGACCCUUGAAGACCGAAAAAGGUGAAUUUAUUAUAGUUAAUUUAUUAUGCUAUUAUAGUACCUACCUAAUGACAUAGUUUGCAGACAACACCAAACUUUGUGGCGUUGUGGACAGAGGAAGGCUGUCAAAGGAUACAAUCAUAUAUCUGUUACAGAUAUGAGCAGAGCUAUGGCAGGUAAGUUUAAUCUGAGCCAGUACAAGGUGUUGUACUUUGGGUGAUCAAAAGGGAAAGUAUAAUGACAAGAUGCCGAACAACAUUGAUGAACAGGGGGACCUUGGUGUUCAUGUCCAUUGCUUGAGUACAAGAAUCAGGAAGUCAUGUUGUAACUUUACAGUACUUUGGUUAGGCUGCAUUUGGAGUAGUGCAUACAAUUGUGAUCAACCCAUUACAGAAAGGACUUGAAAGCCUUGGAGAGGGUUUACCAGAAUACUGCCUGGAUUAGAGGUUACUAACUAUAGAGGUUGAACAAACUAGGAUUGUUUUCUCUGGAACCUGAUAGAAGUAUAUGAAAUUAUGAGGUACACAGACAGGGUAGAUAGUCAGAACCUUUCCCCCAGGGUGGAAAUGUUAAAGAGGGCAAAGUUUUAAGGUGUAAGGGGCAGAGAUGUGCUGGGUAUACACAGAGGGUGGUGGGUGGCUGGAGCACAAUGCCAGGGAUGGUGUUAGAAGCAGAUGCAAUUGUGCAAUUGAAGAGGCUUUUGGAUACGCAGGUUGAUAUGCAGGGAAUGGAGGGGUAUGGAUAUGUGCAGGCAGAUGGGAGUAGUUUAUCUUGGCAUCAUGUUUGGCACAGACAUUGUGGGCCACAGGGCCUGUUCUUGUGCUAUAUUGUUCUAUCUGCUCCCUGAAAGUGACAACACGUGUAUAUGGUGGUAAAGAGGUCUUAUAGUAUGCUUGCCUUUAUCAGUAAGGGCACAGUGCAAGAGUCAGGCUGUUUGUAUAGCAGCUUUGUUCAAUGUGCAGAAUAGGUUUGCUAGAAUGCUGGUUGGAUUAAAGGAUAUUAGCUGUAAGGAGAGAUUGGACAUAUUUGGAUUGUUUUCUCUGAAGCAUCAAAGGUUGGGGGAAGUACGGGAAUUAUAUAGAACCCUUCUCGAAAAGAGAAAUUGUCAAAGACUAAAAGGCAUAGCUUUAAGGUGAGAGAGGCAAAGGAAAUGCAGAGAAAGUUUAUCUAAACCAAGUGGCUUAGUUUAGUUUAUUGUCACGUGUAGCAAGGUACAGUGAAAUGCUUUUGUUGCGUGCUAACCAGUCAGCAGAAACACAAAACAUGA